rnacentral:rRNA from 1 species
UACGUAGGCAGCAAGCGUUGUUCGGAGUUACUGGGCGUAAAGGGUGCGUAGGCGGCUCUAUAAGUAUGGUGUGAAAUCUCCCGGCUUAACUGGGAGGGUGCGCUAUAGACUGUGGGGCUAGAGUGUGGGGGAGGAAAGUGGAAUUCCUGGUGUAGCGGUGAAAUGCGUAGAUAUCAGGAGGAACACCGGUGGUGUAAACGGCUUUCUGGACCAUAAACUGACGC